rnacentral:rRNA from 1 species
UGUGUGUUAGUGGAAGCGUCUGGAAAGGCGCGCGAUACAGGGUGACAGCCCCGUACACAAAAAUGCACAUGCUGUGAGCUCGAUGAGUAGGGCGGGACACGUGGUAUCCUGUCUGAAUAUGGGGGGACCAUCCUCCAAGGCUAAAUACUCCUGACUGACCGAUAGUGAACCAGUACCGUGAGGGAAAGGCGAAAAGAACCCCGGCGAGGGGAGUGAAAAAGAACCUGAAACCGUGUACGUACAAGCAGUGGGAGCACGCUUAGGCGUGUGACUGCGUACCUUUUGUAUAAUGGGUCAGCGACUUAUAUUCUGUAGCAAGGUUAACCGAAUAGGGGAGCCGAAGGGAAACCGAGUCUUAACUGGGCGUUAAGUUGCAGGGUAUAGACCCGAAACCCGGUGAUCUAGCCAUGGGCAGGUUGAAGGUUGGGUAACACUAACUGGAGGACCGAACCGACUAAUGUUGAAAAAUUAGCGGAUGACUUGUGGCUGGGGGUGAAAGGCCAAUCAAACCGGGAGAUAGCUGGUUCUCCCCGAAAGCUAUUUAGGUAGCGCCUCGUGAAUUCAUCUCCGGGGGUAGAGCACUGUUUCGGCAAGGGGGUCAUCCCGACUUACCAACCCGAUGCAAACUGCGAAUACCGGAGAAUGUUAUCACGGGAGACACACGGCGGGUGCUAACGUCCGUCGUGAAGAGGGAAACAACCCAGACCGCCAGCUAAGGUCCCAAAGUCAUGGUUAAGUGGGAAA